rnacentral:ncRNA from 1 species
GUAGAGUAGGUAUUGCGCGUUAAGUGUCAUGGGAUGGGAAGUUGUCCAUGAACGAAGGUAAUCAGUCUGAUUGUCCACGAUGUAAUAUUGCAUCCGCUA